CCUACGGGUGGCAGCAGUGGGGGAUAUUGCACAAUGGGGGAAACCCUGAUGCAGCGACGCCGCGUGGGUGAAGAAGUAUUUCGGUAUGUAAAGCCCUAUCAGCAGGGAAGAAAGAAGACGGUACCUGACUAAGAAGCCCCGGCUAACUACGUGCCAGCAGCCGCGGUAAUACGUAGGGGGCGAGCGUUAUCCGGAUUCACUGGGUGUAAAGGGAGCGUAGACGGCCGUGCAAGCCAGGAGUGAAAGCCCGGGGCCCAACCCCGGGACUGCUCUUGGAACUGUGCGGCUGGAGUGCGGGAGGGGCAGGCGGAAGUCCUGGUGUAGCGGUGAAAUGCGUAGAUAUCAGGAGGAACACCGGCGGCGAAGGCGGCCUGCUGGACCGCGACUGACGUUGAGGCUCGAAAGCGUGGGGAGCGAACAGGAUUAGAUACCCUUGUAGUC
rnacentral:rRNA from 1 species